UGGGGAAUAUUGCACAAUGGGCGCAAGCCUGAUGCAGCGACGCCGCGUGAGCGAAGAAGUAUUUCGGUAUGUAAAGCUCUAUCAGCAGGGAAGAAAAUGACGGUACCUGACUAAGAAGCUCCGGCUAAAUACGUGCCAGCAGCCGCGGUAAUACGUAUGGAGCAAGCGUUAUCCGGAUUUACUGGGUGUAAAGGGAGCGUAGGCGGUAAGGCAAGUCUGAUGUGAAAAUUUGGGGCUCAACCCCAAAACUGCAUUGGAAACUGUUUAACUGGAGUGUCGGAGGGGCAAGUGGAAUUCCUAGUGUAGCGGUGAAAUGCGUAGAUAUUAGGAGGAACACCAGUGGCGAAGGCGGCUUGCUGGACGAUAACUGACGCUGAGGCUCGAAAGCGUGGGGAGCAAACAGG
rnacentral:rRNA from 1 species